UAUAAAUAUGUAAUAAAAUUAUUAUCCGCUUCAUCGCGCAUCUUUGUUGUCUAUGAUAACGAAGUGUGUCGCUACUUCCGAUUAAUUUGAAGUGCGCGACUAACUUCAAGCGAGACGCCAGUUUCGAGAAAUUUCUAACGAUUCGCGCCGUACGAAAUGUUUCUCCCGCGUCGCGAUCGCGAAUAUUAUCGACAAUCACGAAAGAGAGGACGAAAUCUAUACGGAAAUCGAAUUGGUUUCCGAGAUCUUCGUUUGUCAUGCAACUGUUAAUAGACUGACUACAAGGCACUAACAAUCCGGGAAUUUCGGCAGUAAUCGAUCUCCUUCAGCAUAAUAGAAUCUCUGACAAUAAUUAAGGCUGCCUUCAACAGAACUUUAAUCGAAAGCGAUGCGCAAGCACAAAUGCCGGAGUGGUAUCAUGGUCACGACCCACGUGACCGUUUUAAAGGAUCGCCAGCAGCCACCAUCAAUCAAAUCGA